GUGGGGAAUCUUCCACAAUGGACGAAAGUCUGAUGGAGCAACGCCGCGUGAGUGAAGAAGGGUUUCGGCUCGUAAAGCUCUGUUGUCGGGGACGAACGUGAGAUACUUGAAUAAAGUGUCUUAAUGACGGUAUCUGACGAGGAAGCCACGGCUAACUACGUGCCAGCAGCCGCGGUAAUACGUAGGUGGCAAGCGUUGUCCGGAAUUAUUGGGCGUAAAGGGAGCGCAGGCGGGAAGGUAAGUCGGUCUUAAAAGUGCGGGGCUCAACCCCGUGAUGGGAUCGAAACUAUCUUUCUUGAGUGCAGGAGAGGAAAGUGGAAUUCCUAGUGUAGCGGUGAAAUGCGUAGAUAUUAGGAGGAACACCAGUGGCGAAGGCGACUUUCUGGACUGUAACUGACGCUGAGGCUCGAAAGCCAGGGGAGCGAACGGGAUUAGAUACCCCAGUAGUCC
rnacentral:rRNA from 1 species